rnacentral:rRNA from 1 species
AGUGAACGCUGGCGGUAGGCCUAACACAUGCAAGUCGAACGGCAGCACAGUAAGAGCUUGCUCUUACGGGUGGCGAGUGGCGGACGGGUGAGGAAUACAUCGGGAUCUACUUUUUCGUGGGGGAUAACGUAGGGAAACUUACGCUAAUACCGCAUACGACCUACGGGUGAAAGCAGGGGAUCUUCGGACCUUGCGCGAUUGAAUGAGCCGAUGUCGGAUUAGCUAGUUGGCGGGGUAAAGGCCCACCAAGGCGACGAUCCGUAGCUGGUCUGAGAGGAUGAUCAGCGACACUGGAACUGAGACACGGUCAAGACUCCUACGGGAGGCAGCAGUGGGGAAUAUUGGACAAUGGGCGCAAGCAUGAUCCAGCCAUACCGCGUGGGUGAAGAAGGACUUCGGGUUGUAAAGCCCUUUUGUUGGGAAAGAAAAGCAGCAGGUUAAUACCCCGCUGUUCUGACGGUACCCAAAGAAUAAGCACCGGCUAACUUCGUG